CGAUAUUUACUUAAAAUCCACACGCAGAUCGACACAUUUGCCGGGGUGCUCCACCAGAAAGACACUCUUUUAAGAGACUGGUUGGGGUCGGGAAAUGGGAUUUGCGGAGGCUUAAC
rnacentral:sRNA from 1 species